GCGCUGUGAUGAUGCUUUUUCCUGCCAUUCGUAGUUUCCACCAGAGGUCGUAACGGACCAAAGAUGGCCCAAACCUUCCUUGGAUGUCUGAGCGC
ensembl:snoRNA SNORD14 Small nucleolar RNA SNORD14